UCUAAGUCAACGUCCAGUGGUUACCCAUGAUGAGAUGCCUAUCCAUCUUGGCAGGUAAUUGUUCAGUCUGAAGGAGCUUUAAAUUACUUCACAGCUUGAAAUCACAGCUUUACCUCAUACUCCUCUGUGAAGUCAAAGACACGUGGCAUUGGAAGUUACGUUUUUGAGAUCAUCUACUCAGAACAUGUGCCUCAAGAAAUCUGUUUUCACUGUUUCACACAACUUGGGAUUUGAAGUUCCCUGCACAAGUGUAUGAAGAGAAUUGGUUUAGACUAGUUCAGUGAAAAGGAGCUGUUUAUCAGUAGACUCAGAUGCAUGGAGAUCUGAGAAUGGUAAGUGCAAAGCUUUACCCCUCCUGGGCAAUGGUCUUUGAGACAAGGCAAAGAGGACACAGGAGCUGAGGAGACACUGCUGUUUCGGAGUUUGUAUUCCAGGUCAUGGUCUUCUAAGGUCAACAAAGAUCAUGCAACAUAAAUAGUUGUGCGUGAGUAUUUAUCUUCUUUCUAUUAUCAACUUCAUUUUGCAUUUGACAGAUAUUUCAUUACACAGUUUCUUUGACAAAACACCCAAAUGUGCUUUGUUUUGUAGUACAUCAGGCAACAACCCAAAAUGUAGGUCUGGGGAAGCUUUGGUGGUGUGCUCUUCCUGAAGUUUCCUUCCAGAUCAUCUGUGUUGUACUGGAUUCCUUCCUCACUGAGGGAAGGGGUGGAAAAGCCCUCUCCAGCUGAGCAGUGGUGAUCCCACACAUUGUCCUCUUGGGGAUGCUGUCUGGGCUGAGACAGCAUGGUUGAUGCUGGGCUGAUGCUUUUCUUUGACUGAUCAUCAGUUGGAGGGUAUGGAUGGCACUUACCCCCUGACCUGUGGCUCACAGCCUUGUUCUAGAACCUGGUGCUAACUGAUGGGCCAGACUGCCUUUCUCUCCUCCUUUUAGCUUGUAGAUAGUUCUCUGGCAUGCAUCCAAACCUAAUUCAGUAUAGAGGGAAAGGUCUUCAGGUUCUCAGAGUGUAUAUACACAUGUGGUCAAAUCCGUAGCUCAUUAAAUUAGUAUGUGCAGUGGAAAGCAGCUACUGAUUUAUGUUUUCAUCUAUGCAAGGUAAAUUGGAUUGAAACUUCACACUGUUUAAAAAGGAGAGCUGAGAUUCUUGCUUACAUUUGAGUUCUAAAUUAGCAGGCACAUGACUAAGCUUCAUGGAUCUGAAAAAGCUGGGUCCGAGUUAAUAUGAUGCCGGUAACAUUGAUUUCACUGGAGCCUUUUGUAUCAGAAACCACAUGCACACAGCCUCACAUUGUGAAGCAAGAUUAAUUUAGCUGUUGGCAAAUUAUAUGCUGUAUAAGAAUAGUCUGUGAAUGCCUUGGAUUGCAAAUUCUACUUCUUAACAUGUGCAGUGCAAAGUACCAGUAUCACGAAAAGGAUGCUACUGGUUUCAGCUGAAUUUUGCAGAAAUGUGAAUGACAUGCACCCAAAAUAAGGAGAUAAAUGGUGGAGAACUAAACAACAGAAGGCCUACUGAGUCAGAUAUUAGAAGCCUCAAUCUAAAUGAUGACACAGAAGAUAGUUAUAAAAGUAAUUGCAAAGGGUUUAGAGCUGCAGUCCCUCUAAACUAAGCAGAGGGGGUUGCCUCUCUCUAACAAAAAGGUGAUUCGUGAUUAUUAUUAGCUAUAAUUACAGGGAGUGCCACAGAAGGGCUACCAAAAUUAUUUCUGUGGUUCAGUUUAAGAUGUAUUUUAAUGUUUCUAAAAUAUAUCCACUUUUAGAAGCAAAAUUCUUGUUUCCUCUCUUUGAAUUGUUAUAGCAAUAACUGAAGCAAACCAAAUUUCCCAUGAUCUACUCACCUUGGAGGACAGAACUACUCUGGAUAAUAGAAGCAAAUUAAUGGACUUCCCUCUGAAUCCUAAACUCUGGAUAGGAGCCUGAUGCUGGAAGGCACAAGUGUUAGAAGAUCAAGUCUGAUAUACUGCUGCUAAGGCAAUUCAGUUGGAAGAUGAUGUAUUUGCUGGAGCUCUGUAGCCUGCUUGCUCUUCAGAUGACUUGAUGGACCUCACAGCUGCCAGGACUCAUUUUGCUGGGAUCACAGGUCUCUCCUGUUUGUGCUUUUCUUUAUGAUGUUCUUUCUGGUGCUCACCUUUUGUAAAGAGCAAGGCUCAGCAGAGGACCAGCCUUAUCUGAUGGCUCUUUGGCACAAGUGCUGUAACACUUAAAUUUUCUUAAAACUCAGAAACUGAAGAAUGAAUUAGUUCUUAGAAUGUCUGCACAUGGGUUAAAGUGAACAUUAUGCAUUUACUGAGCUCCUGUUUGUGAGAUGUGUCUGGGGCUGAGAAAAGGUUAAAGUUGUUUACUGCCUUCAAGCUCUGGUCGUAGAAGGUAAUUCAGGGCUGUGUUGUGAGCAGCUACAAGACUAAGUCCUUGGAACAAUGAGUUGCUGGUUUGAUGUCAAGGUCCUUGGGCCUUAAUAAUAAAAUUAGUUUCUAAAGGAAAUCCUAGCAGAGACUUUAUGGUCAUAUAAAGUCAUUAUGCUGGUUUACAACAUAACUUUAAAGAUACUUUGAAAUGAUUGGGGUUUGUGGAGAGGGAUCCUAUUUUUUAUUAUUUCUGGG